AUGACCGAUGAGGAAAUCUUUUCAAAGCACGGCCAUAUGAAGUUAGUGUGCUCACCGUCAAGGCUCGCCAAAGUCAUGAAAUUGUUGUCAGCAAAAGACAUAGAGAAAAUCAUAAGUGAUACCGGUCUUGGGUGUCUAAACAUGAUUCGUGAAUUUAAACUCCGGCGCAUUAUGUUGAUAAGACUAGCAAAGAGCUUCGAUAGUGAGACAUCGUCCAUUACCAUAGGUAAAACACCCAUUCCUAUCACCGCAGAAGACGUGCACCAUAUAUUUGGCCUUGCGAUAGAAGGGGAGGAUAUUGAUAAAAAGCUGCAAAGCACACCGAAUCCAAACUUGUUUAACACAUUUCAAAACAAUGGGAGCAUUGAUCUGGCUGACCUUGAGACAGCGAUCUUAAGUUCCAAAACUCCGGACAAUGAUUUCCUGGCGUGA
rnacentral:rRNA from 1 species